rnacentral:tRNA from 1 species
GCCUGGCUGGUUCAGUCAGUAGAACACGUGACUCUUGAUCUCUGGGUUGUGAGUUCAAGCCUCACAUUAGGUC